rnacentral:misc_RNA from 1 species
CCCACCCUCUCAAGUCUUUCUUUUGUUGGGAAGACUUGGAUUGCUUUGAGGAAGUAUCAAAAAAAAAAACUUUUUGCUGCUCCUCAGAAAUUUAUAGGCAGUAUGGUUAAACCUGAACCAGGCGUAAUAAUUCUAUAAAAUCGUCUAAUGAAGGAAAAUCUGUAUUAGUCUUUAACCCCCCUCAUUUUUUUAUUUU